rnacentral:tRNA from 1 species
GCCUGGGUGGCUCAGUUGAUUAAGCGUCUGACUUCGGCUCAGGUCAUGAUCUCAUAGUUCAUGGGUUCAAGCCCUGUGUCAGGCU